UUAUAAGAUAUAGAUAUGCAUGUUCCAAAAGAAUGGCCAUGUCCUCUACUUUGACAAGAUGGAAUUAUGCAAGAAUCCGUGAGAUAUAACCGGCUCCGAGUAUGGUAAAAUGGGUUAGAUGGCUUUAUACAAGCAUAUAAUUUCUUGAAACAGGACUGAUAACAGGCAUCUAUUAAAUAUUCAUUGCUGAGAAAGUAUAUUAGGAAACGACUGUCGGAGUGACUCACAAUUCAAAAAAGAUGCAAUUAUUACUGCCGUUACUGGAGGAAAA